GACGAACGCUGGCGGCGUGCCUAAUACAUGCAAGUAGGACGCAGUUGCGAACGGGUGAGUAACGCGUAGGUAACUGCCUCUUAGAGGGGGAUAACUAUUGGAAACGAUAGCUAAUACCGCCUACUAGUAGAUGGACCUGCGUUGUAUUAGCUAGUAGGUAGGGUAAUGGCCUAUCUAGGCGACGAUACAUAGCCUACCUGGGAGGGUGAUCGGCCACACUGGGACGGAGACACGGCCCAAACUCCGACGGGAGGGAGCAGGAGGGAAGCUUCGGCAAUGGGGGGAACCCUGACCGAGCAACGCCGGGUGAGUGAAGAAGGUUUUCGGAUCGUAAAGCUCUGUUGUGAAGGAAGCGGUACUUAACCAGAACGGGACGGCUAACUACGUGCCAGCAGCCGCGGUAAUUC
rnacentral:rRNA from 1 species